AGUGUAAUUGUUUGAAACAGCUUUUUGAGAACUUUCUGAGACAACAAUCUGUUGUCACUGAAUUGAUACGAUGCAACUUCAGAUUGUCAUUCGCUUUCUGUAGUGGUAAACCGUAGUAUGGCUUGAAUCGCUUUCAUUCAGCAUGCUGGAGCAGUAAAACUAGGUUAGAGAAGAGGACAAAACCAAGAAACAUUAAAGUCUUACAAAGUGGGGUUAAAUUGCCUGUGGCUAACAUGCUAAAGACCACUGGUGAAGGCAAUAGCUGAUGAUUUGUGGUUUUCUUCUUUGUUUGAACAUUGUGACAUAUGUAAAUUUUGCCAAUUUCUUAUAUUGCAUUGUAAAUGAAAGACACAAAACAGCAAGAUUACCUUGUGCUGUUUUUUAACUCUUUUUUCCCUCAAUCCACAUAUGGAAAAUUACCAUAUGUUUGUGCAAUUAGGCAACAAAUGGACUAUGUUAUCUUUAUGGACAAAAGAUUAAA